UGACUUGCUCAUUGAUACAUUUGCUAUGUCAAUAUGAGGUGCAUGGCGAAUUAUUUAAUUUAUUUGUCUCGCUUCUAGGAGCUGUAGAAACAACAGGGUGUUCUUUUUCAGGGUAUUCUUUUUUUAUAGAACUGGACAGGUCAUUUAUUCGUUCCCCUUGUUUUUUGAAGUGUCCUGCAGGAUGCUGUGUCCUGCAAUCCUGUGUGCUGUGCUACAGACGCGUGUGGAGGUCAACCCAAAAUGGGCACAGUCUCACCACAGAAGAGUGAAAGAGGAUCCUGGCAGGGAGACGGUAGUGUCCUGCAGAAUGGUGAUGGGCCAAUCUUACAAGAGACCACAGAAAACUGAUAUAGUGAACUAUAGAAACAGAGUGCCUGCUGCAGUAUGGCGAGGACACCCUGAGCAGAGAGCUCCAAUAGACCCAGGUCCAGUGUCUUGGCAGGGUGAAAUGGCACUGAUAUGGUGUCCUGCAGGAUGCUGUGUCCUGCAAUCCUGUGUGCUGUGCUACAGACGCGUCUGGAAGCCAACCUGAAAUAAGCACAGUCUCUCCACAGAGGAGUGAAAGAGGGUAAGCGUAACCUAUAGCCUACGUCAGUGGUGGGGAACCUUUCUCAUUCGAAGGGCCAAUUCAAAUUCAUCCGAGGGGCCGUAAAAGUCCUCCAAGGGCCGUACUAUGAACACAAACCAGGAUUUUCCCCUUCACUUUAGACCUAUAUUGAAGGCAGCCACAUUUAAACAAACACCACCUUCUUCAGCUUCCCUGAAUAUAACUUAAUUGUAUUGCAAAUGUAUUUUCUAAGGUUCCUUUACAAAAUAU